AGAAUAUUGAUAUCAGUAUUACUUAAGAAGAGAACAUUUACAAAACAGCCAUUAAGAGGAAGCAGCAGAGACUUCACACUGGAGAUGAGCCCACUGAACGUCACAAAUCUGAGGAGAUUUCACAUAGAACUCAACUUUCACGUCACAUUUAUCUGCUUGAUUUUCGGAUUGUCCCUGCAUAAGGAUGCAGAGGAGGGCAGGUGGUGGCAGAGUUCCUGAUAAUGAAACAACAGGUCAUCCGUUGGGCUCAGUGGCGUCCUUCAUCAUGUUACUGGCUGCAGUGGACUUAGGAAUGCUGUGAACACAGGGAAUAGAGAAUGACUCAGAGCAGAAAUCUCUAGGCCAGUGGGGAACAGACGUUUCAACGGAAAGUUGAAUGCAAGGUCUGCAGAUUCUUAUUUUCUUAAUUUUGACUGUGUAUGGAGGAGAAGGGGCAUAGUACACAGAACAAAAUGUAGAGCACUGGACAGCAAAGCACAGUCUGGGGAGCUCCAAGAACUCACUCCGCCACAGUGACAUCAAUAAAACAACCAGGAUCUACCUGAAUGAGCUGGGUUUCUAGCCCAGGGAACCCCAGAAGUGGUAACAAUGGGCUUUCUGAUCCCACCAUUGGCAGCCCUGAGUAUCUGAUUGAUUGAAGAUGAUGAAGGAGGGUUUUGGGUUGCAGAAUUUUCUAAAUCCACCUGGAAGUCUGGGAACCUCUCCCUCCAGCCACAAGGCCCUGCCCCACACCCUGCAGCAAACAAUCUGGAAAGCCAGACUCCAACCUCUGCAACAAUAGGCCCCAAGGGUCAGGACUUGGUCAGUGACUCACAGCUUCAUCAUUUUCAGUCCUUUCCAUGUAGAACCAAAUGCGGGGAAAGCCAAAUAUGUUCCCCUAAGUAAUCACUUAGGGCACCCCUCUUCCUAACUGCUUGUUUCCAGCCUCCCACAUCAAAGGUCUGAGCAGGACAUGCCUUCCUUUUUUUGCCACAAGAAAGUGUCCUCACUCUUAUGUGUGCCCUGAGUCUCAGCCUGCUGUGAGGGGUGUUGGCUGACUCCCGUGCUCUGUAGAUAAGUUGUGAGUAAAUAGUGUCUGUUCUUAUUUGGGGGGGUGUCUUUUUUCAUAUCUACAGAGCUUAGUAUGGCAGGAAGCAAAUAAAACUCAUGAUAAUGUUUCCCAUGUUAUUUUAAAAAUCACAUUUAUUAAUCACCAUUUUUUAAGUUGAGACAUAAUUCACAUACCAUAAAAUUCACCCUUUGAAAAGUGUAGAAUUUAGUGAUUUAUAAUCUAUUCACAAAAUUGUGCAACCAUCAGCACUAAUACCAGAACAUUUCAUCACCUCAAAAAGAAACCAUAUCCCCAUUAGUCUCUUCUAUUCCACCUAUGCUCAGGCCGUGGCCACCACAAAUCUGCUUUCUGUCUCUACGGAUAUGCCUAUUCUCAAUAUUUCAUGUGACUGGCAUCAUACAAUAUGUGCCCUUUAUGUCUGGCUUCUUAUACUGAAUAUCAUGCUUUUGAGGCUCAUGUUUUAGAAUGUAUCAGUAAUGUACUCCUUCGUUUGGCCUAAGAAUUUUUCUUUUUAAUCCGUAAGAUUUUACGUACAUUUACAUGCCACCAGGGUUUUUUGUUUUUUGGGGUUUUUUUGUAAAAAAUAUAUUUUCAAUUUUAACCAUUUAAAGUCUACAGUUGACUAACAUUAAGUACCGCUUCCCUGCCUGACCCCAACUUACCCCACUCACGUGGAGCUGCCAGUAGGCCCAGAGGACACAAGCCCAGCCAUGUUGCCCUUCCUUGGAACUCCCAACGUCAUCCAACCUGACCAUGACCCCAUUAUUAGUGCCCCUCAUUGUAGCAAAAAGAACUCUGUCCACGGAGAGACUCUAGUGAAGAGGGCAGCUGCCCCCAGGCAAGUUGUUGUGCUUGGGACAAGGAAACAGUGCCCUGGGACCUGCAGUCACCCAGGGGUCCCAUGAGGUACAGUGCUGGUAUCCUGAGGGCGUAUUCUGCUGAGGUCCCCGCCAGGCCCCUAUGGAGGAGAACCAGUGAACACUUGGGGACAUCUCUUGUCAUUCUUUUCUUCCUUCCUUCUUUUCUUUCUCUUUUUCUCUUUCCACCCGGAAGAGGUAAAGCUUGACAAGAAAAAAAUAAAUGAAUUUCUAGACCAUCCAUAUUUCAGGGCUGCCUCAUGGAUCUGUCCUUAUUUUCUCAAUAAAAACCCUCUAAGGAACUAAGAUGUGCUACGUGUUCCAUGCACACUCACCUGUGUGCAUGCCCCGCACAGUCCUCCAUCUUCCCUUCUCUCGUCCAACACUUCACUCCCCUGUGGGGGCUUAUUCAACGGCAAAGAUUGCUGUGAGUUCCAGCAUGAUGUCUGCCUCACUCCCUUCAUGACUGUCUUGUUGACUCAAUAGCCUGUGUUCUGGCUGCUCGGGAGCCCUCGUCUGUCCUCUGCUCAGGGACACUGCUCAUCUUUAUCAACACCCACCUGUAUUCCUCACUGUUCAGUCCCUGGGAAAUUGGCUGUCCUGACCUGGGACAGCUUUAAACAUAAGAAAUUGCUACCUUCCACUGCUGGGGUCAGAAGGCUGGGUGUGUGGUCCAAGGCUCUCGGAGGUGUUUUGCAUCCUCCCAGAAUCUCCUCUCACCUCCGUAAGAAACUCUACUUCGAAGACACCUCCAACCAACGCUGUCCAUUAGGUGCUGAGCUGUCAAUAUUUCCAGCCCAGAAAGACCACAGCCUGUGCUUUGCAACAGGGAAAUCCCUCCCCUCUACCUCCAGUCCAUCCAAGUCGACCCCCGUUCCUCAGCUCGCACAUCCCACAGACGGCUUCUGAGUCUGUUCAGCAGGUGAGGUCCCAUAGGUGUCAGGUCCUGAGUCUCUUCCAGCCACCAGUUUACAGCCAACCCUACAUGAUGAGUCCACGGUCCUCUAGGAGUGCACGGGACCUUCCCAUGUACCUCUUCUGACACUGUUGCUGGAUCUCCUUCCUCCUUAAAUCAGGGCAAGGGGCUUGGUUUCUCUGAGCCUGUGAGUGGGGAAGGGUAGGAGGGGACGAGUGGCCUAGAGAGUCCAGUCCAUUCUGCAUCCUGUGGGCCCAUGACCCUGGUGGGUGGAAGCAGAGGGGGUAAUGAGACAGCGAGGCUUUUGGCCUGCUUAGUGGCUCGGGAUUUAGGGCACAUUCAAGUGGAGGCUGAACCUAUUGGACAAUGUUGGUCAACAAACAGUUUCUGCAUGUGUAGGAGCUGAACCAGUUCACCAAGCUCUCUCAAAACUAAUAUCCAUUUAUAAACACUCUUCUGGCAACAGGGGAAGGGCAGAUGAUGUUCCAGGAAACUGCUCCCUAACCUCCUGGGAACAUUCUGACAGGGUCUUUGAAUAUGCAACAAAUGUCUGCUUUGGUUAAGAAGACAUUGGAUGAUUUGCAGGUACAUUUUGGAAAUGUAGAAAACUACAGUACUUCAAAAUUAAAAUCCUAUUUUAUGAUUUAGAAUCUACUGUACUUAGAUGACUGAUAAAUUGUUUAAUGAAGGCAUUGGUAAAAAUAAAAGCUAAGAGUUAAACAGUUUUAACAUUACUUUCUAUUUUCAUAAUUUUUACAUUAUAGUCUAAAACUGUGGCAUGCUUAACUAUUUGUCCAUCUAUCUCUCCUUCUCCCUCUCUCCGUAGUUUUAAGAUGUUUGUCACUAUUUGGUAGGUGCCAAUUCUUCUGCAACACGCACACUUCAUUGUGUAGGAGAAGUGGUAACGUUUGUUCACAGGAGUGAAAGUGAAGAGGUGAUGCGCGGGCGGACUGGGCCACUGCAAUGUGGUGAAAGAAGGGUAGGCAUUGUCCAGGGGAGCUGGGCCCUGGCCUCUAGGCUGCUGUUUUUAUCCAGACAUCUGGGGUGCCCUGAUUCACUCUUGACCCAGUAAACAGGGGGCCUAGAAAAGCUCUGUGAACAGCCCUAGCCAGGAGCCCUUCACGUACUUCUCUCCAUUUACAUCGUGGGCAUGGAGUUUUCUCAAAAAUCUUUAAGUUCUAGUUCUUCUGAUUUCUAUAAUCUCCGCUUUUCUUCUUGCCAAAGAUGUCACUAACUAAAUCAGCCUAUGUAUGAU